GGUCCGCUGGCUCAAUGGCAGAGCGUCUGACUACGACUCCUUCAUCUGAAAGAUCGAGUAAUCAGGAGGUUCCAGGUUCGACCCCUGGGUGGAUCG